rnacentral:tRNA from 1 species
UUCGAAUCCCUCUCUCUCCUUUUUUG